UUUCUUCUUCUAAUCCCUUUUCUUUCUCCCUUCAUCCCCCUCGUUCUCUCUCUUCCCCCCAUGACUAUCGAACCCCUUCUUAACCCCUUUAGGUUGAAGUGAAUUGGUGCUUGAUUCCCUCCGUGAAUUUUGUGAAUUUGGUGUGUUGAGAAUGUGCUAAUGACCUAAUACGAGAUGCUAAAAUACAGUUCCCAUCACAUUUUUAGUUUUGGGAAGGUAAUCAGAUUGAUCCAUUUUUUGAAUACCUUGAACGAAGUUCUAUGCACGCCAAGUGUUCGAUAAAUGUUUAUAAGGUACAAUGGCUCGUGAAAAGCAAGGUAAGUCCCAGGCUACUACAAAGAUUUUUGCUGCUGCACGUUGAACGUAGAAAUCUACUCAUAGUGAGGCUACUUCGAGCAAAUAAUCUAAGGGAAAACAAGUGGCUGGAGCUCAGCUAGACCACCAAAGAGGCCUCGUCCGACUAUGGGAUUUAAUAGUGCUGACACAAGGGCUGGUACCAUAGCUUCGAGCCACAUGACAGGUACAUCUUUGAGUGAGGUAUCAAUAAAGGUACUCUAGAAAAGGAUUAUUCUGGGCUCUUGGCACAAAUAAAGAUAGUGAAGCUAGAUCUCUUAUUGAAGUCACCUGGCCAUGCCAACUUGAGCAUGGUACAUGAACUGUAUGCAAACUGGAAUUGCAAUAAUGACCAUGCUGAUUUGCUAGGGAAAAAUGUCUACCUAUCAAGAGAGGAUCUGUGCAACUACUUAAGGAUUGACAAUUAUGACACAAGGAUUCUCCAAAAGUUCAUCCGCGGUCCUACCUACCCUGCCAUCCAUCAUACACUUUGCGGAGUGAAUUCCAAUGCUAAGUGGACCCGCACUUUAGGGAGGAAGUAUCUUGAGAUGAUCCGAAAAAACUUCUGCAAGCCAGCUCAAGUUUGGCAAAACUUUUUCCAUACCCGCAUUAUGUCAGGCGACCACGCCUCAUAGUGUACGCCGAUCAUGUUUGUGUUUGAUAUAUUUUCUGAUAAGGAAACCUGUCAAUAUUGGGCAGCUUAUGCUUAAUGAAAUAGCUUGCACCAAGUUUGGACACAAGACCAAGAGGUUCUUCUUUGGAAAUAUUCUGACAAAAUACAUGUUGUCCUGAGACAUACUUUAUAAGGAACUAUGAUGAUAUUGAGCCAGCUCCGAGGGGUCUCUUGGACAUCACAUCAUUGGCGGAAAGAACAAAGAAGCUGAGUACUACUGCAAAAGAUGCGAAGGGUAAGAAAUUUAAUCGCCAUAUUUAUGACAUGUUGAACUUGAUCAUGCAGCAUGUUGGGGUGAUAGAGGAAGAGAGGUUGCAGCUGCUUACAGAGUACCCCCUAUCAGGCGCAACAAAGGAGAUAUUGGAACUUGCACCUACCAGUCCACUUCACUCAUCUGAGGAUGAGAACACGGUUCCUGGAUCCCCUCUUGCUGAUAUUGGUGAUAGUGAAGAGGUUGAUGGACCGCUAGCUAUUAAGCGAGCUGCUGAGGCCGUAGCUACGACAGGGACGGAGUCCAAGGAGGACAAUGAUGAUGGAGAUAAUGCCUGCUAUAGAGCCUGCCAAAUGUUCAGGUAGUACAAGGUCUGAUGACAAGACUUUAGAGUAUAACCCAGAGGGGUUAGAGUAACAGGGAGUCCCUUAUUCUACCCUUUGUGUUUUAUUUUUAUUAUGUGCAAUGGAGAUAAUUCAUAAUCUAAGUGAAGCCCUUAUUCUACCCUUCAA